rnacentral:rRNA from 1 species
UACGAAGGAGGCUAGCGUUGCUCGGAAUUACUGGGCGUAAAGCGCACGUAGGCGGCUCUUUAAGUCGGGGGUGAAAUCCUGGAGCUCAACUCCAGAACUGCCUUCGAUACUGUAGAGCUUGAGUUCGGGAGAGGUGAGUGGAACUGCGGGUGUAGAGGUGAAAUUCGUAGAUAUUCGCAAGAACACCGGUGGCGAAGGCGGCUCGCUGGGCCAGAUCCGACACUCAUCCGCGAAAGCGUGGGGAGCAAACAGG